AACGCGAAGAACCUUACCUGGGCUUGAACCGCACAGGACCCUCCUUAGAAAUAGGGACUUCCCGCAAGGGACCUGUGUAGAGGUGCUGCAUGGCUGUCGUCAGCUCGUGCCGUGAGGUGUUGGGUUAAGUCCCGCAACGAGCGCAACCCUUACUCGUAGUUGCCACCCGCAAGGGGGAACUCUACGAGGACUGCUCCGGAUAACGGAGAGGAAGGUGGGGAUGAGGUCAAGUCAGCAUGGCCUUUAUGUCCAGGGCUACACACGUGUUACAAUGGCCGGUACAGAGGGCAGCAAAACCGAGAGGUGGAGCAAAUCCUAAAAGCCGGCCCCAGUUCAGAUUGGAGUCUGCAACUCGACUCCAUGAAGAUGGAAUUGCUAGUAAUGGCGAGUCAGCAACAUCGCCGUGAAUACGUUCCCGGGCCUUGUACACACCGCGCAUA
rnacentral:rRNA from 1 species